CCUACGGGAGGCAGCAGUGAGGAAUAUUGGUCAAUGGACGAGAGUCUGAACCAGCCAAGUAGCGUGAAGGAUGACUGCCCUAUGGGUUGUAAACUUCUUUUAUAUGGGAAUAAAAUGUUCCACGUGUGGGAUUUUGUAUGUCCCAUAUGAAUAAGGAUCGGCUAACUCCGUGCCAGCAGCCGCGGUAAUACGGAGGAUCCGAGCGUUAUCCGGAUUUCUUGGGUUUAAAGGGAGCGUAGGUGGAUUGUUAAGUCAGUUGUGAAAGUUUGCGGCUCAACCGUAAAAUUGCAGUUGAAACUGGCAGUCUUGAGUACAGUAGAGGUGGGCGGAAUUCGUGGUGUAGCGGUGAAAUGCUUAGAUAUCACGAAGAACUCCGAUUGCGAAGGCAGCUCACUGGACUGCAACUGACACUGAGGCUCGAAAGUGUGGGUAUCAAACAGGAUUAGAUACCCGGGUAGUC
rnacentral:rRNA from 1 species